rnacentral:rRNA from 1 species
UACGAAGGGGGCUAGCGUUGUUCGGAAUCACUGGGCGUAAAGGGCGCGUAGGCGGCUUUAUAAGUCGGGGGUGAAAGCCUGUGGCUCAACCACAGAAUUGCCUUCGAUACUGUAUGGCUUGAGACCGGAAGAGGUAAGUGGAACUGCGAGUGUAGAGGUGAAAAUUCGCAGAUAUUCGCAAGAACACCAGUGGCGAAGGCGGCUUACUGGUCCGGUUCUGGACGCUGAGGCG